rnacentral:rRNA from 1 species
AUUGAACGCUGGCGGCAGGCCUAACACAUGCAAGUCGAGCGGAUGAAGGGAGCUUGCUCCUGUAUCCAGCGGCGGACGGGUGAGUAAUGCCUAGGAAUCUGCCUGGUAGUGGGGGAUAACGUCCGGAAACGGGCGCUAAUACCGCAUACGUCCUGAGGUGGAAAGUGGGGGAUCUUCGGACCUCACGCUAUCAGAUGAGCGUAGGUCGGAUUAGCUAGUUGGUGGGGUAAAGGCCUACCAAGGCGACGAUCCGUAACUGGUCUGAGAGGAUGAUCAGUCACACUGGAACUGAGACACGGUCCAGACUCCUACGGUAGGCAGCAGUGGGGUAUGUUGGACAAUAGGCGGAAGCCUGAUCCAACCAUGCCGCGUGUGUGAAGAAGAUCUUCGGAUUGUAAAGCACUUUAAGUUGGGAGAAAGGGCAGUAAGUUAAUACCUUGCUGUUGUGACGUUACCAACAGAAUAAGCACAGGCUAACUUCGUG